rnacentral:rRNA from 1 species
UACGGAGGGUGCAAGCGUUAUCCGGAAUCAUUGGGCGUAAAGCGCGUGUAGGCGGUUCGGUAAGUCCGCUGUGAAAGUCGGGGGCUCAACCCUCGAAUGCCGGUGGAUACUGUCGGACUAGAGUACGGAAGAGGCGAGUGGAAUUCCUGGUGUAGCGGUGAAAUGCGCAGAUAUCAGGAGGAACACCAAUUGCGAAGGCAGCUCGCUGGGACGUUACUGACGCUGAGACGCGAAAGCGUGGGGAGCAAACAGG